rnacentral:sRNA from 1 species
UGAUUCUUCGUUCUCUGCCCUUCCCUUUUCCAAGUAAAAUCCCUAUCUCUAAAUAUACUCAUCAUCAUCGAAGUUUCUAGUCCUCCGUCUCCACCGCUCAUCAUCAUCAUCGAAUUGUCAAGCCACCAACAUGGUGGCUUAUACCAGUGAGUCUAAAUUCGGAAAGAUCAAGAGAAACAACUCGUCGAGUCCCACCAAUUCUGCUGCAAGCAACUCCGGUCCAGUUGGUCAUCUAGUUGGUUGUGGCCCGAGUUGACGAACACUCCGAUCUAUACAUUAUGAAUAUAAAGGCAAAAGUGAGUCAACCCAAUUUCAGAGAGGGAAAUGGCUUACCACAUGUGCUCCACCAUCUUCUCUCUUCCACAACCCCCAAACUCCCUCCCGCUCUCCCCUUCUUUUUCCCCGACUAAUUUCCAACUUAAAAGCUCUGCAAUUAACACCCACAGACUCAGUUUUCCUUCACUGCAAUUUCAGUCACGAACCUCUAUGCAAAUACACCAUGUUUCUUUGCAAGACCCCGUUGCAGAAGAAG